rnacentral:rRNA from 1 species
GUUAGGAAUAUUGGACAAUGGGCGAAAGCCUGAUCCAGCCAUGCCGCGUGUGUGAAGAAGGUCUUCGGAUUGUAAAGCACUUUAAGUUGGGAGGAAGGGCAGUAAGUUAAUACCUUGCUGUUUUGACGUUACCGACAGAAUAAGCACCGGCUAACUUCGUGCCAGCAGCCGCGGUAAUACGAAGGGUGCAAGCGUUAAUCGGAAUUACUGGGCGUAAAGCGCGCGUAGGUGGUUUUGUAAGUUGGAGGUGAAAUCCCCGGGCUCAACCUGCGAACUGCCUCCAAAACUGCAUGACUGGAGUACGGUAGAGGGUAGUGGAAUUUCCUGUGUAGCGGUGAAAUGCGUAGAUAUAGGAAGGAACACCAGUGGCGAAGGCGACUACCUGGACUGAUACUGACACUGAGGUGCGAAAGCGUGGGGAGCAAACAGGAUUAGAAACCCGGGUAGUCC